UCCGUCUUCCUGUAUAGAAAGCCAGAUUUCAGUUUAUACAUUACAAUGGCUAGGACUUUUUUACCAGCUAGUUCAGCUUUAUAUCAGAAACAGGCCAUUUCUCUCAUGCACAGGAUGUCUCGUCCAGAAGGGUGGGGGUGGAAAAGAAGCUUAUGGUACAAAGAGAGCACAUGAAAAAGGGAGAGAGACCAAAAAAGAUGGAAUUCUAUUGACACCAUGCAUGGGACUCCAUGAGGCUAAGUGAGGGCAAGGGAAGUGUCUGAAAUCAUGUGGAGAGUCAAGCCAGCCAUCACGAAGAUGUUUCUGCACACUUCUGCUCUGAACACACAUGGUAGUAUCAAGUGACAGCUGGUCACAUGCACUCUGAGUCUGAGAGUGCAGAGAAUGUGAAAUGGCUCUGAACACUUGAAAAUAUCACCUUCACACACCAUCUAGUCACUCUAUCUGUUGGUUUGUUUGAGGGCAACAAACCGUUUUCACCAUCUGCUAAACCAGGCAAUACUUUGUUUUCUAGAUUAUCUAUAUUUUUAGAGUAUACUGUUUGUUUGAUUUGUUAUAGUUAAAGAUUGUUUGUUAGGUUUUUAUAUUAUAUUGUUUGCAUUUUUGUGUUAUAUAUAUAUAUUUUGUUAAAUAUGUUUCUAUAAUAUGGCAAAAAAAAAAAAAAGGAAAAUGUGAGUGAUGCAUACGAUGCAUUUGAAAAUAAGUGAUUUUAAAAAUAAGUGAAGUAAGCUACGGUUUUCUGGGUGGUUGCUGGGGAUUUUCUUAGUGGUUGCUAUGGUGUUCAUAUUGGUUGCUAUGUGCUUGCCUGCUGGCUUUGGGCAAAACAGCCCUCAGGUUUCUUGAUAUUCCCACCCUUUUUUAAUGAACUGCUAUGCUAUUUUUAAUAUUUUCACAUCAGCCAGGUGAAAAUCUGACUGUAAGUGUGAUAAGAAAACAGUGCGACAAGCUGUAUAGUGUUUCAAUAUUUUGUGAUAAUGCUUCCAUUCAGUUUGUUUUCGGAAAACUAUUAUUUAGCAAGAGUGUAUUAAAUUGAUCAAAAGCGACAGUGCAGACAUUUACAUAACUGUUUCUGUGAACUUUCUAUUCAUCAAAGAAUCCUGGAAAAAAGUAUCAUGCUUUAAACAAAAAUAUUAAGCAGCACAACUGAUAAAAAAUACUAAAUGUUUCUGGAACAGUCAAUCAGCAUAUUAAAAUUAUUUCUGAAGGAUCAUGUGACACUAAAGAUUGGAGUAAUGGUUGCUGAAAAUUCAGCUUUGACAUCACAUAAAAAAACUUUAUUAUAUUAAAUACUAACUAAUAAUAUUUUGCUCAUAUGAAACCUUGGUAUAAAAGCUUGAGCAAAACACAAUUUUGAAAGGUAGUGUAUAUACAACAUAAGGAAUUGUCAAGAUGAUGCUAAAAUAAUCAACAUCAUUCUGUAUUUCUCCUUCCAUCCCUUACAAACUGAAUCGCAGACUAGUUUUAGAUUAGGAUAUGAAUGAUUGGUUUCUCUUUUUUCAGAGCAUGUGGGUUUGAUCUCACAUAUGGCCUUAGUUUCACCCGAAGUUAAACGUCACAGUUCUAACACACACCACUCAAGCUGAUGUGUGUGUGACUGGAUACUUCCUCUCUCCCUCUCUCUCUCUCACACACACAUUCACAUCGCUGGCUUCUAUAAUCUGUUUCGACAAACCCUCAGUUUCACCACUGCAUCUCACAAGUAUUUCAUUAAUUAUUUAAGUUUGAUCAUUAACCAUUCAUUUUCUCUCUGAUUUCUGUGUCCAAGUAGAUUCUGAAAGGAUGAAUGGACAUGUGUCCAUGGUACAAAUUCCUCACAGUGUUUAAUCACUAAUGGAUUAUGUGUUUGGCCAGAUUAGCAUUAGCAUAAUGCUGCAUAAAUUUAAUCCUGGCUCUCAAAUUUAUUAAUAAAAAGAUCAUAACUGACCUCGCAGCUGCAGGCACUGAUGACUAUUUUAAAUCAUGCAUCUUGUGCUCUUUGACCCUCAGGCCAGUGAUUUCUUGGCCCUGCAAUGUUUAUAUGAGUCCGAACUGACAAUAUUUGUAAACAUUUCAUAAUGUCAUUUGUAAAUUAGGAAAUUUCACACUUACAAAAUGUUAAUAGCAUUACAAAAGCUGAUGGCCUGUAUUAAUUUUAUACAUUAUUAGUUAUUUUUUGUUUGACUUUACACUAAUGCUUAAACCUGAAAAAAUUAAUUGAAUGAGCAAAAAAAAAAAUUGUGAAUGGUGAAUGAUGAAUAAUGAACAGCUUUUCAGGCAUCUGAAAAAUUCAAAUGAUGUACAAAACAAUAUAAAUUCAAACUUUUUAACAUUAUUUUACAGACAGUUGGGUGACUUAUUCUGACUAUUUGUCAUGUUUUAUGACUGAAAAUUCAAGUGACACAUUUGAAAAUAAAUAUAGAUAUAAUUAUAGAUAUGAGGAAGUCAGUUUUGAUGCAGCUUGUCCAUGCAGGUUGGAAGUGUCUUGCAAGCAAUUCAAGUACAGUGCUAAUGUUACACUGCAAACAUUGCUUUUACAGUAAGGAGUGCAAUAUCUUGACUGUGAUUUAUCUCAGAAGUAGAAGAUGGGAAUACAAUAAAUGCUCUCAUGAAGCUGCAGGAUUACUUUAGGAGAUGGAAACAAAUGAUAAUUAGAGGUAAACUGCUGACAGACAACAUACAGCCUGAUCCAUAAUUGAGUCUCAUUAAUCAACUCAGAAAAUAUUAAUUUGUAAAUGCCUGGCAACAGAAAUUUCUUACUCAUCUUCAACAGCUAGCAAACAAUCUCUUACUUAGUUACUACCCACUCGUGGGUAUAACACAUAAACACAGACGACCUCCCACAAGACAACAAACCUGAUAGAUCUUUGCAUCCUCAUGCAAAUAAAACACUUCCUUCUUCCUGCAACACUAAUUAAAAUGUGCCUGCUGUAACGAGAUACAUGGGAACAAUUUACUUAUGUUGACUGCAGAAUCUUCAUUCAUUAACUUAUGGGAUGUAACUAUAUGGGGUUUCUCAAAAUUGAAUGACUUGUAUUGCCCUAAUUCUACAUUUUGACAGUUUAAAAGUCGGUUGCCAUAAGGGCCUAUGACCUGUUUAGCGUAUACAGAUGCGGAACGGUGAUUUGAAUCUUGCAUAAGUCAGCUACUAUAUUCACAUUUAAUUCGAUCAGGCUUUGAACUGAAUGACUACAGAAGCAUUUAUAAUGUCUAUGUGACCAUGGAUUUUAUGCUUUAGCUCAGAAUUGCUGUUUUUCACAAAGAGAUAUUUGUGUUUACAUUUACAGGCAUCCGUAUUCAUUUUGAUAUUAUAGUGCUAAUUUGUUUUGCACCCCAUCUCUUCAGUAACCUUGUUACCUUGUGGGUUGCAUACAUACUUAGCAAUCUAUUUAAUAUCCUCUACAUGUAUAUGUGCUUGCUUCAUAAUGACAUUUUGUGCUUUGCACUUGUUCAGUUUGACAUAUGAUAUUGCCAACAUACAGAAAUCUUAUGAUAUUGUUGAUUAAAUGCCUGAACGUCAAGCAUUCAGUAUCUUUUAUUUAUUAACUUUUUUGCUAGAUGCUGAAUUUCACAGAUUGUUCAUAAAUACCUACAGAAUCUGUUCAACUGAUGACUGGUUUGCAUGAGUAAUAAGAGCCAGAAUGAAAAAAAAAAACCCCACUUCAGAUCUGGAUUGUG